AGAUUUGAGAAAAUUCUUUUCCAGAACGGCUUCAGGGACAAAGACUCUCUCUUGAGGACUGAAAUGGCGAGAAAGAAAUAUUUAAUAAAUAGCUACCAGCACUGGAUUAAGAAGUUGGCUCUAAUCUGUUCUCUUCCAUUAACUCACUCUGUUUCCUGCGGGAAAGCAAUUGCCUUUUACAAGCUGGAGUGAAUAGUUCAGCUGGAAAGGGGAGUCCGAAGAUGUGAGGCCCAAAGUGAACUUCGCUACUGUGCUUAGUUGUUCACAUAUGGUUUGCGGACCCUGGAAAGUCCAGCCUGAAUUCCUGAGGGAUGCUGGAAGGAGUGAAGUGAGAGACUGACACGUGUUCCCAUCCCAUCCCUGUAGCCUGGAGACAUUUCCAGCUGAAAGAAAAGUAUAAAAGACACAGUAACUGUGAAAUGCUGAAGGGCGUUUCCAGAGUAGGCACUCACGGUGAAAUGAAUGCUUAUAUGUUAAAUAACAUAUGCCAGGCAGUAUUCUAUUUUAUCCUCACAACACUUCUAUGAGAUUCCUCAAAUCAUUCUUCAGCCCUCACUUUGGUCAUGUAAGUGCCAUAAAAUAAUCAUAAAGAUGCCUUAGAGGAGAACUUAUUUGCUUUACAAGUUAGAGGUCAAGCUUAAGGGUCUUUUCCAUUUUGUUGAGAAUAAAUGAUGUUUCUGAAGAGUUGCUAGCUUAUCUAUUGAACCCCUCUUCAGCUGGGAAGGCUGAGCUAGAGGGAUGAUGGUGGCAUAUAAUGGAUUGGUAUUUUAUUUGAGGUGUGAUGUAGAAUAAUCCCUGCUGUGGAUCACCCCCUCCUCCAUCCCAGAUCUCAGAUACCAGUGGAUAUUGCCUCUAAAGUUCCUCCAGCUCCAAAUCACUCUGAGUAUUCAGAGACCUGGGUAGCUGUUCAGAGUGCUUACAGACCCCAGGUGUCAGCCACUGCUGGGGGUGGCAUCACGUCCCCUUUCCUCCAAGUGCCACUUACCAAGGUGCUAGAAUAGAUCAUUUACCAAAUCACUUCCCGUAUAUGUGAGAGUUGCAGAUCUGUGUCACCAAGUCUGUACACAUACACCUGACAGGCAGGCAAAGGAAUGCAUGUUCCUAACCAGAGAGAACAAGAGGAAUCAAGAAAUUUUAACUAAACUUUCUAAGCACUUCCAUUGGAAGGUACUUCUUAAAAAACUGGUGAAAUAAUUUAAGAAGACAACCUUGAGAAAAUAGCAUCUUGGAAUUAAGCAGAAGUAGGAGUAGGAGGGAGGCUACUGCUAGUGACACAGUUCCAAUGUCUGCUUUUUAUUGGUAGGCCUGGGAGGUGGGGGAUUCCAGUUAAAUGCGCUGGAGCUAAAGACUUACAGACAUUCCUCAUAUAAUUUAUGGCUCUGCAAAUUGCCCUAAUUUGUUUUUAAAAAAACACAUUAUUGAGAAAAUUUACAUUUUUUAUAGUUAAAUAAGCAUUAUAACUUAUAGACCAUGGGCUUUUAUUUAUUUACUUCCUUAUUCAUUUACUUGUUUACUCUUAAUUGCCUUUCCAUGUAUAUUAUUCAUCUUGUUAUUAGAGGAUUAAUCUUUCUCUUAUUUAUUUGUAAAUACUUUUUAAGAUUAUUAUUAUUAUUUAAGAUUAUUAUUAUUAACUAUACACACCUACUACAUGUAUAGUUUCCUGCACCCCAAAACACCAGUCACAUAGUUCAUGCUUGAUAAUGGUGCUCAUUUUUUUCUUUCGAAUCCUUAACAUAUUAGUCAUAGUUAUUUUAAGUUCUCUAUCUGAUUAUUUCACAAAUAUCUGCCACAUUUGUGCCUGGUUCUGAUACUUAACAGCUCUUCAAGUUGUGUUAUUUUGACUUUGUUUUUGUCUUUUAGUAUGCCUUAUAACUUUUUGCUGAAUAGUGGACAAGACUUAUUAGGUAAAAGGAACUAAUAUAGGUAGGCCUUCAUUCUAAGGUUUUAUUUUAUUUAUUUUUGUUUUUUUUCUUUUAGGGCCACACAGAAGUUUCCAGGUUAGGGGUCGAAUUGGAGUAGCAGCUGCCAGCCUACGCUGCAGCUCACAGCAACGCCAGAUCCUUAACCCACUGAGUGAGACCAGGGAUCAAACCCACAUCCUCAUGGAGAUUAGUUAGGUUUGUUACUGCUGAGCCACAACGGGAGCUCCAGAGGUUUUAUGUUUUUGUGGCUACGAAUUAGACCGUAGGUGUAGUUAGAGGUGUCAGAGGCCAAAAUUUUCUAUGUUGUCCUUGUUUUAUUUAUUUAUUUAUUUUUUCUCUUGCAUUUUUGGACUUUCCUAGGAACUUUUUCUUAAUUAUGUUUUAAGACUUGUACUUCUUUUACUUAAAAUACCUGUGACUGUAUGGGAACCCUAUUACUGUGGUAAUAAAUGUGGGGAUGGGAAAUUUCCUAUAGUCCUAUGAUUAGGUCCCAGUCUUUUAAUGAGGCUGUGGCCCUAUUGUGAUACUCACGGCAGUGCCAGAUCCUUAAACCGCUGGGUGAGGCCAGGAAUUGACCCGCAUCCUCAUGGAUUCAUUGCCCCUGAGCCACAAUGGGAACUUCUAUCUUUGACUAUUUUCUUUCCUAGAUUUCUUUUUUAUUUCUCAGAGUGCUCGUCAAUCUUCUUUACUGUAUCAUUUUCUCUGGCUCCUUUGGAAUGCUGGUGUUGCCCGAGAUUUCAUUUUUUUUCUUUCCAUCUUUUCUAUUUUAGCUAUUCUGGUGGUUACAUAGAUCUCAUAAUGAUUUCAAUUUCUAUCUUUUUGGUGAAUAAGGGGAGUUCCUUUUCAUAUGUUUAUUAGAAAUUUGGAUAUUUUCAUUCGUAAAUGCCUAUUCAAAUCUGUCUUUUCUUCCCCACUGACUUGUAGGAAUUCUUUAUAUGUUCUUGAUAUUCAUCCUUUAUUUAGUAGAUGUAUAUUACUGUGCUUUGACUUUUCCAUCUCAGAAGUGGUUUUUGAUAAAUUUAAUUAUAGCACAAUUUAUUGAUGAGCAAUUGGUGGUUUCUUUUGAUUUGUGAUUUUUAUUUUUAUGAACUAUUUAAUAAAUCUUUCAUUGUAUGGAGAGUCUCCUAUGUUUACUUUUUUUUUUUCUCCAUUUUCCUUCUUGUCUUUUUAGGGCUGCAGCUGCCACAUAUGGAAGUUCCCAGGUUAGGGGUCUAAUCAGAGCUUCAGUCGCUGACCUACGCCACAGCCACAGCCACAGCAAUGCUGAUCCAAACCGCAUCUGUGACCUACACCACAGCUCACGGCAAUGCUGGAUCCUUAACCCACUGAGCAAGGCCAGGGAUUGAACCCAUGUUCUCAUGGAUACUAGUCAGGUUCAUUACCGCUGAGCCACGAUGGGAACUCCUUUUUUUUUCUUUUUAAUGGCUGCACCAAUGGCAUAUGGAAAUUCCCGAGCCAGGGACUGAAUCAGAGCUGCAGCUGUGGACCUAAGCCACAACUGCAGAAAUGCUGGAUCCUUUAACCCACUGUGCCUGGCUGGGGAUUGAAGCCGCACCCCUGCAGUGACCAGAGCCACUACAAUCGGAUUCUUAACCCACUCCGAUGUUUACUUCUAAAACUUUAUCGUCACAUCUCUUAUAUUUAGAUUUCCUACCUACCUGGGUCAGUAUUUGUGUAUGUUGAUAAGUGAAGUUACAUGUGUCUUCAUUUAGCUGUCCAAUUAACCCAUGACCAUUUGUUGGUGAAUUCAUUCUUUCCUCCCUACUGAUGUGUCAUAUUUGUGAUAUAUUGGGAGCUAGUGUGUGCAAGUCUAUUUCUACCCUUUCUAUUCUGUUCCAUUAGUCUAUCUGUGCCCUAAUACAACACUGUCUUAAUUAUGAGAGGUUCAUAAUAGCCUUAAUAUCCUAUAGCAUUUCUUCCAGCUUUAUUUUUAUUAUUCCUGACCCUUAGCAUUUCCAAAUUUUGGUGUAUAUCAGCUUGUCAAUUUGCAUGCACACACAUGUGCACCUGCUGAGAUUUUAAAUGGGAUGGCUUGGAAUCUAGAGAUAGUUUGUGAAGAACUGACAUUUUUUCCUAUAUUGAGGCUUCUGACCCAUGAGCAGCAUAUAACUAUAACUCCAUUUAUUCAGGUCUCAUUCAAUUUAUCUCAACAGUGUUUUGUUUCCAGUGUAGAUACAUUACACAUAUUUCUUCAAAUUUGUUCCUGAGUAUUUGAGGCUUUUUAAUGCUGAUAUAAAUGGUAUCCUUUAAAAUUUUAUUUCUUAUAAGUUUGUUGCCAGUUCAUAGACUUGAAGUUGGUACUGCACAUUGACUUUGUAGAUAAUAUCCUUGCUUAAUUAUUAAUUCAAAUAGGUUUCUUUGUUCAUUUGAUUUUUAACAUAUCUUGCUUACUAAAUAUUGUACUGUCUUUCCCAUAAUUAUGACUUAUUUUUUCUUCAUUGCAUUGGCUAGAACCUCUGAUACAAUUUUUAAUAAAAGUUGUGUUAGCAUAAAUCUGGUCUUAUUACUGAUUUCAGGAGAAAAAGUACAAUAUUUCACCACAAAAUCUGUAGGAUUUUUAAAAUAUGGAUUCUCAAGUAAAUGCUAUUUCUAGCUCACAAACAGAUCUUCUCAUGGAUGGGUGUUGAAUUUUUUUGAAUAAUCUUGCUGCAUCUAAUCUAUCAGGAUUAUAAGACUUUUUUUUUUCUUUGAAUUUAGAGAAUUUAAUCGAUUUUCAAAUGUCAAGCCUCCUUGUAUUCCUGAAAUAACCCUCAAUUUGUUGGGCUGCAUUAUCUUUUUCGUAUAUUGUUAGAUUUAUUUUGCUAAUUACUUUUAAGGAUUUUUUCAUCUAUGUUUAAGAUGAAGCUUGAUCUGUAAUUAUCAAUCAUUAUUGUCAAGCUUUGGAAUCAAUGUCCUAUAUAGGAAGCUGGCACGUGUUUAUUCUUUCUAUUCUCCGGUAGAAAUAUUAGAAUAUUUGGAAGAAUUCACCAGUUGAAGCCAUCCAUUUCUAUGUCUCCUUUGUCAGCUUUGAUAAAUUAUAUUUUUAAAGGAAUUUUUGAUUUUAUCUAACUGUGGAAAAUAUUGGCAUGUAAGUGUUUAUUAUAUUCUCUGAUUAUUUGAAUGCUUAUAAUAUCUAUAGUUCUAUACAUUUUUCAUUCCCAGUGUUAUAGUUUGAGUACCCCCACUUCCCUUUCCUAAUCAGUCUUGCAUGUUGUUAGUUUUUAGGCCUAAAUUACCCUUUUACUUGCUGUCCUAUUAGGUUUUGCUUUCUCAUAUGAGUAGGGAGUUAUCAUUCUUUAUAACUCUGUAAAUUUUGUAUAUAGUGAAAAUUGUUUGUUUCUUGACUAUUUGAUAAAAUUGGCAAAAUCAGUGAGGUAUAUAGAUUUUCUUAUGGGAAGAUAUAAAGUUACAUAAGAUUUAUUACUUGACUAGAAAUAAGACAGUUCAGAUUUUUAAUUAUUGUUAGUUAUUUUUUUUUACUUUCACAGGGAAACAUCCAUAUAAGUUUCUGAACUCAUUGAUACAACCUGGUUCAUAACAUGUUAUUAUACUGUCAGUGUCAAAGAGUCACUAUCUGAUUCUUUUUCAUUUCUAACGAUGAUUAUUUUUGUCUUUUAUAUAUGUCUUGUUCGGUCUCAUCACAUAGUUGGUUUAAAAAUUUGUAAUUGUUUCAUAUGUCAAAUUUUAGAUUUGUUGAUAACAUCUGUUUUCUAUUUCCUUAAUUUGUGAUUUUCGCCUUAUUUUUUUCCUUGCUUAUGAACUGAACUUUGUUUUAAAUCUUUGAUAAGUUUGUUUUACCAUUUUACCUUAAAGUGUAUUUUAUCUCACAUUAAUAUAAUCAGACCAUAUUUUUCUUGGUUGAAUUUUUUGAAUUGGGGCUACAUUUUUUUUUUUUUUGGUCUUUUUAGGGCUGUACCUACGAUAUAUGGAGGUUCCCAGGCUAGGGGUUGAAUCCAAGCUGUAGCCACCAGCCUACACCACAGCUGCAGCAACGUCAGAUCUGAGCCACCUCUAUGACCUACACCUCAACUCAUGGCAGCGCCAGAGCCUUAACCCACUGAGCAAGGCCAGGGAUUGAACCUGCAUCCUCAUGGAUACUAGUCAGAUUCAUUUCAGCUGAGCCAAGAUGGGAAUUCCUACAUUUUUAUUUUUAACCCUUCUGUAUCCUUAUGUUUUAGAUGCAUAUAUUAUAACUAAAUAGCUGGAGUUUAAAAAUUCAAAUACGAUAAUUUCUGUCUUUUACCUGAAGCAUUUUAUCACUUAUGUUAGUUAUAAUUACUUAUAGAUUAGCCUAUUUGUACACAACCAUUUAUUUUUUAUUUGUAUUUUCUUUUGACCAUGCCUGUGGCAAUGUGGAAGUUUAUAUAUAACAAUUUAUCAUGUAACUCUAUUUGUCCCACCCUUCUGUGUUUCUUUCAUUUUUUUGUCCUCUUCUAAUCAAUUAUGUACUUAUUCCCGAUUCUCUUUUUACUUAUACUAGUUCAGAAAUUAUGAAUACUGUUUAUUUUUUUUAACAUUCGCUCUUGUAAUUACAACAUGAACAUGCAACUAAUCAAAGUGAAUGAAUAGCAAACUCUCCCUCAUCCAGAAGGAUCUUUGGUUUCCUUUUUCUUUUUUUCAAACUCCUUACUGAGAUAUAAUUCCUACCAUACAAUCAACUAUUUAAAGUGAAGAAUUCAAUGUUUCGUCAUAUAUUCACAAAGUUGUGCAACCAUUACCACAAUCUAAUUUCUGGAAAAUAUUCCUUUCCCCAAAAGAAACCACUUGUUCGGGAGUGGAUAAGCAGUGAGAUUCUGCUGUAUAGCAGAGGAAAUGAAAUCUAAUCAUUUGUGAUGGAACAUCACGAUGGAGGAUAACGUGGGUAUAUGUAUGUAUAUAUAUAUAUAUGAAUGACUGGGUCAUUUUGCUAUACAGUAAACAUUGACAGAACACUGUAAAUCAACUACAA
rnacentral:lncRNA from 1 species